rnacentral:lncRNA from 1 species
AACACAUCCCAUCAGUCACAAAAUACCAUAACUACACAUCCCCAAACUGGCGGCUUCUCUUCAAUCCCUUCUCCAAGCCCUUGGUAUCAGUAGCCACCAUUUUUCACUGUGUGAAAGCUGAUUUUACAAAUUGGGUCAUUCUUGUAAUAUUCAGGUAAAACAGAAUAGAAGAACCAGGGAGAAAGCACUCAAGACAUAUAGCACCUGCUCCAAGAAUUAAAUCUUCCACAAGCCCAGCUGCUGAAACUGCCCAUUGGAACAUGAAACCAGUUUUUCUCUCAUAGCUACUGAAACAACCUGCUAUGAGUCUAAGGCCAGUUUUAACCACCACUGUCACUCAUGAAUCAGAGCUUGCCAGCUCCCCAGAAUUUUACUAGUGCCAAUGAACUUUCUGGAAAAACAAUAUGUAACAUUUUUCCUUUUAGAAAACCUCCAACCUUCUCCUUGUUCUUUAGACAAAGAUCAUCUGGUUUGUGUGUAUGCCCCGAGUUGCAAUUCUUGCUUCCCAAAUAAAAUUUAGAGAUUUGUCUCUAGAUUGCAUUUAACUUAGACACCUGGAUCUAACACACCUAUUAUUUUAGCUUGUUUUCAGACUGCUAUAAAGAGAUACCCAAGACUGGGUAAUUUUAAAGGAAAGAAGUUUAAUUGACUCACAGUUCCACCUGGCUGGGGAGGCCUCAGGAAACUUAUAAUCAUGGCAGAAGGUGAAGGGGUAACAGGCACCUUCUUCACAAGGUGACAGGAGGAAGUAAGUGCGAGAACAAGGAAGUACCACACUUUAAAACCAUCAGCUCUCCUGAGAACUCACUAUCAUAAGAACAGCAAGGGGAAAACCACCCCCAUGAUCCAAUCACGUCCACCUGGAACCUCCCUUGACACAUGGGGAUUACAAUUCAAGAUGAGAUUUGGGUAGGGACAAAGAGCCAAACCAUAUCACCUGCCUUCGGGCUGACCUCACAACCUCCAGACUCUUCUCACAUCCUUUACUUCCUUUCUUCCACUCAACCUGUUUUCCAAAUAAUUACCCAGACUGUAACCCCAAUGAAGCACAGCUGAGACACUGGCCCUCACGUGUUCCAUGUCUGUUGCUGCAUCUCACCAUUUGGUCUUGUUAGAAACAAUUAACUAGUGUGGGUUGGCUUUUUCAGAGUACGAAUAAAAAAAAAAGUGAAAUGUUCAGGAUAACACAGUUUAAAGGUUUUAUGUAAAAGCACUUGAGGAAGAAGGUGAAAGGAAAUUGAUUAAGCCACUGAAAUUCCCUAGAAAUAGAAUAACAUUCAGAGUUCCCCAGCAGCUUUCCCCUGUCUCAUACUCAGUUAUCCUCGCUCACUUCUCA